rnacentral:lncRNA from 1 species
UGCAUCACUACCAUUACAGCAUUGCUGAAAUAAUGAUUUCAUUACACACAGUAAUGAAACUAUAUUUUAUUAUAAGCAAAAACAGCUUUUAUAUCACCAAGAAAACAGGACCUUUACACUUUUCAAAGAGCUACUCAUGUAGCAACUGCUGUACUUAGAAAUCAAUUGGUACUUCCAAUUAGAAAGAAGCACAGAGAGUAACAAAAAACCAAAACCCAGAAGUCAUUAGAAAAAUAUCUGAUCUCGAUUUUGCAAAGCCUAUCAUAUUCUGGUCCUUCCUGACAAUAGUCACUAGCUCCAGUUCACAGUACUCCAAAAUAAAAGAGACUGGUAGUUCAACCUUUCACAGUAUUUUCUGCAUACCAAUUCAGUUUGGCAAAGACCACUGUACCACAGUCCACACAGUAUGCUCCUCAGAAACACUCCAGCAUUUUCUUCUUCCAAAACAAACAAGCAACAAAAAACAGUCAAUGGGUAGAUACACUGUGUCUUUGUGGGUGGGGGGGGGAAAGCAGGGAGGCUGAUGCAGUGAGAAUGCUAUAUAGACAACUCAUAGGCAAUGGCAGAAGCAUAUCCUAGAAGUCAGGAGAAGGGCAAGAAACCAUCUUCAGUACUCUGCAUUAAAAGGGUACUCCUUAUGAUUUUGGGACAUGCUCAUUGCACAAGCUCUCCAGUUUCUAUUAAAGCUGAGGAUAGUUGCCAUCUCUUCUUUAGUCAGUUCAAAGUCAAACACCUUGAAGUUCUCCACAAUGCGCUGUGGUGUGACGGACUUGGGGAUCACAAUCACGUUUCUCUGGAUGUGGAACCGAAUGAGAACCUGUGCUGCUGUUUUGUUGUGCUUGGCUGCAAUCUCUUUAAUCUUGGGGUCAUCCAGAAGAGAAGGAUCCUCUGGCUUAGCCCAUGGCCUAUCAGGAGAGCCAAGGGGACUAUAUGCUGUCACAGAGAUCCCUUUGGAUUGACAGUAGUUGAUCAGCUUCUCCUGGGUCAGGUAUGGAUGACAUUCAACCUGGUUGUUUGCAGGCUUGUAUUUCAGCCCUGGCUUGUUCAAGAUUCUUUCUAUCUGCUCAUGGUUGAAGUUGGAAAUUCCAACAGCUUUUGCCAGACCAGCAUCCACCAGCUCUUCCAUGGCCUCCCAUGUUUGUAGAAGAUCCGUGUUGCCAGGUAUUGACAUGCCUUUAUCAUCUGCGGGAAACAGGUCCUCUCCUGCCUUAAAUCCAACAGGCCAGUGGAUGAGGUAGAGAUCCAGAUAAUCCAGUUUCAGGCUGGCAAGAGUCUUCUGGCAAGCUCCUUUCACCAAAGAUUUUUCGUGAAAUGUGCACCACAGCUUACUGACUACAAAGAGGUCCUCUCGUUUCACAACGCCCUCCUUGAUUUUCUUCUGGAUACCCUCCCCAACUUCAUUCUCAUUCUGGUACACGUAAGCACAAUCAAAGUGGCGGUAGCCUGCAUCAAUUGCAGCCAUCACUGCAGUUGUUACUUGCCCUGGUGGGGACUUCCAGGUACCCAGCCCCAGAAUGGGCAUCUUAGCUCCGGUGUUCAGCUGCACGUAGGUCGCCAUGGCCUCACACACGGCUAUGAGGGAGACGCCCCCCUCAGAACCCAUUAAGAAGCGCCUGGCCCCGCCCCGCCUCGGCUUGGAGGCGGCGCCGGCGCUGUUCCCCCGGGACUCGGGCGGGGGUCUGGGACCGAUGUUAGGCUGACGGGUGGCUGUGUGUGCUGGGCUGGGACGGGGGCUUUGCAGCUUCCACUUGGGGGAAGGGCUGGCGCUCAGGGGGAGUCCAGGAAAAAAAAAAACAACAAAAAAACAGCAGUUAAAGAGCAACGGCAACUUUGGUCUGGAUGUUGGGAAGGUUUAUUUAUUUAUUUAUUUUAAAAAUACGUUUCCAAAGGGCCUCGCUGUCUUUAGGGAGGCGCUGGAGGCAUAAAGCGUGCCAUUGUACCGUCCUGCACAAGGGUGGCCUGCGCUGUGGCUCGGGAGCGGGUGAUGAAACGCGGCAGGUCAGUCCGUGCAGCCCUGGUGAGGGCUGCAGCGCAGUGGAAAAAACCCGCCUCGCGUGUGGGGCUGCGCUGCUCGCUCGUGGAACGCGGCUUCGGGUGCCUCUCCCCCUCCUCCGCAUUUGGUUUUUUUUCUGCUCCAUUUAACUAAGGGUGAGCUAAGUCAUUUCUUCCUUCCUGCAUUAGAUGAGGAAUUGGAGGUAUUUUUGGCCAAUCAAGGCAGAUAUGUCUGUUGGGCUCCUCAAAGCCAUGACUCACCUAAACACCUGC